rnacentral:rRNA from 1 species
GAUGAACGCUGACAGAAUGCUUAACACAUGCAAGUCAACUUGAACUUCGGUUUGGGUGGCGGACGGGUGAGUAACGCGUAAAGAACUUGCCUCACAGCUAGGGACAACAUUUGGAAACGAAUGCUAAUACCUGAUAUUAUGAUUAUAUGGCAUCGUAUAAUUAUGAAAGCUAUAUGCGCUGUGAGAGAGCUUUGCGUCCCAUUAGCUAGUUGGAGAGGUAACAGCUCACCAAGGCGAUGAUGGGUAGCCGGCCUGAGAGGGUGAUCGGCCACAAGGGGACUGAGACACGGCCCUUACUCCUACGGGAGGCAGCAGUGAGGAAUAUUGGACAAUGGACCGAGAGUCUGAUCCAGCAAUUCUGUGUGCACGAUGAAGUUUUUCGGAAUGUAAAGUGCUUUCAGUUGGGAAGAAAAAAAUGACGGUACCAACAGAAGAAGUGACGGCUAAAUACGUG